rnacentral:tRNA from 1 species
GAGGGUGUAGCUCAAGUGGUAGAGCAUGUGUUUAGCAUGCAUGAGGUCCUGGGUUCAAUCCCCGGUACCUUCA